rnacentral:tRNA from 1 species
GCUCUUCUAGUAUAAUAAUUACAAUUGACUUCCAAUCUCUAGAAUCUGGUACAAACCCAGAGAAGGGCA